rnacentral:rRNA from 1 species
GUGCCAGCCGCCGCGGUAAUACGUGGGGUGCAAGCGUUGUUCGGAAUUACUGGGCGUAAAGCGCGUGUAGGCGGUUUGUUAUGUCAGGUGUGAAAGCCCUCGGCCCAACCGAGGAAGUGCGCCUGAAACUGGCAGACUUGAGUACGAGAGAGGAGGACGGAAUUCCCAGUGUAGAGGUGAAAUUCGUAGAUAUUGGGAGGAACACCGGCGGCGAAAGCGGUCCUCUGGAUCGAUACUGACGCUAAGACGCGAAAGCGUGGGUAGCAAACAGGAUUAGAUACCCGGGUAGUCC